rnacentral:rRNA from 1 species
CGAACGGUGAAAGCCAAGCUUGCUUGGUGGAUCAGUGGCGAACNGNUGAGUAACACGNUGAGCAACCUGCCCUGGACUCUGGGAUAAGCGCUGGAAACGGCGUCUAAUACUGGAUAUGAGCCUCUUCCGCAUGGUGGGGGUUGGAAAGAUUUUUUGGUCUGGGAUGGGCUCGCGGCCUAUCAGCUUGUUGGUGAGGUAAUGGCUCACCAAGGCGUCGACGGGUAGCCGGCCUGAGAGGGUGACCGGCCACACUGGGACUGAGACACGGCCCAGACUCCUACGGGAGGCAGCAGUGGGGAAUAUUGCACAAUGGGCGGAAGCCUGAUGCAGCAACGCCGCGUGAGGGAUGACGGCCUUCGGGUUGUAAACCUCUUUUAGCAGGGAAGAAGCGAAAGUGACGGUACCUGCAGAAAAAGCGCCGGCUAACUACGUGCCAGCAGCCGCGGUAAUACGUAGGGCGCAAGCGUUAUCCGGAAUUAUUGGGCGUAAAGAGCUCGUAGGCGGUUUGUCGCGUCUGCUGUGAAAUCCCGAGGCUCAACCUCGGGCCUGCAGUGGGUACGGGCAGACUAGAGUGCGGUAGGGGAGAUUGGAAUUCCUGGU